rnacentral:rRNA from 1 species
CCUACGGGAGGCAGCAGUGAGGAAUAUUGGUCAAUGGACGCAAGUCUGAACCAGCCAUGCCGCGUGCAGGAAGACGGCCCUAUGAGUUGUAAACUGCUUUUGUACGAGGGUAAACGCAGAUACGUGUAUCUGUCUGAAAGUACCGUACGAAUAAGGAUCGGCUAACUCCGUGCCAGCAGCCGCGGUAAUACGGAGGAUUCAAGCGUUAUCCGGAUUUAUUGGGUUUAAAGGGUGCGCAGGCGGUCGGGUAAGUUAGCGGUGAAAUCCCGGGGCUCAACUUCGGAACUGCCUUUGAUACUGUUCGGCUAGAGAGUAGUAGCGGUAGGCGGAAUGUGUGGUGUAGCGGUGAAAUGCUUAGAGAUCAUGCAGAACACCGAUUGCGAAGGCAGCUUACCGGGCUACUACUGACGUUGAGGCACGAAAGCGUGGGGAGCAAACAGGAUUAGAUACCCGAGUAGUC